UGUCUUGUAAUUGGAAUGAUGGGAAUUUAAACCUCUUCCAGAGUAUCAAUUGGAGGGCAAGUCUGGUGCCAGCAGCCGCGGUAAUUCCAGCUCCAAUAGCGUAUAUUAAAAUUGUUGCAGUUAAAAAGCUCGUAGUUGAAUUUCUGCUGCAUUGCUUUUGCUCCUUUACGAGUCUUUGCAUUGUGGCUUAUUUCGGACUUUGUUUUACAAUGUCCGGAUGUUUACUUUGAGAAAAUUAGAGUGCUCAAAGCAGGCUUUCGCCUUGAAUAGUUUAGCAUGGAAUAAUAAAGUAGGACUUUGGUUCUAUUUUGUUGGUUUUAGGUACCAAAGUAAUGGUUAAUAGGAACAGUUGGGGGCAUUCGUAUUUAACUGUCAGAGGUGAAAUUCUUAGAUUUGUUAAAGACGAACUACUGCGAAAGCAUUUGCCAAGGAUGUUUUCAUUAAUCAAGAACGAAAGUUAGGGGAUCGAAGACGAUCAGAUACCGUCGUAGUCCUAACCAUAAAC
rnacentral:rRNA from 1 species